rnacentral:lncRNA from 1 species
GUGGAUUUAACAAUUUUCUAUUUUAAAUAAUCAUAAAUGACUGUGUCCAAGCAUACAUUCUAUAUAUGCGAGGAUUUUUAUGUAAAUAAGUAUAUUUUCUUACGAAAAUAAAUAUUCCCUAAAGCGGUAUGAUAUACAUGACUGAAUAACAUAAAGAUAAAACAAAAGUAUAUGUCAAAACAAUAUAAAAGAUACAUGCAUAACCCAUUAAUCAUAUAUUAUUAAUUAACAUGAGCAAAAAAAUUACAAUUUGCACAAAAUAAGUUGGAUAAAAACAAUCUUUCUGUCUCUCUCUCUUUUUUUUUUGAACUUUAAAUUAAGUUAUUGAUAUUGUAAGAGAUAAAAUAAUGAUACUACCGAGGUAAAUAUACAUUUAAUGAUAGUUACUAUUUGUAUAACAUCAUUUUUACUUUGGUAAUCAACCACUUUAAAUUAAACAACUUUAAUUCGUCCUCGCAAACAUCAUAGUAGAAUAUUAUUUUCUUCAUCAAGCCGAUCUUUGAUCGGAAUUCGGACAAUAUGUUAGAGUACAGGAAUUUAAGUAACUUUUUGCAUAUGAGUAAGGAUGGUAAUUUUGAGAAACAAUGGGUAUGAAACUUGUAAUCCAUUCUCUGCAACAUAAAAUAUGUCUAGGAGGUGUUUCGGGUGGAAGGUGUGUUGGAUCUGAUGGGAAAAUUUUGUAUUUAAUUUGUUUACAACAAUACAAAAUUAGAUAGGAGGUGUUUCGGGUGAUAAAGUGUGGUGUUUAUUUACAAUAGUAAGAAACUAUGUGAGAGGGUGUUGUGGGUGUAAGGGGUGUUCGAUCUGAUAAGACAAUUUUGUACAUGAUUUGUACAUAUAACUGCCGUCACCGGAGUCUCGCACUACGGGAUUGAUGGUCAGAAGUAAAUGGUGUUUUAGGUGUAUCGAAUGAUUUGUAAUCUGUUGUGAAAAAUAAUACAUGAUUCAUGUAAUAAAGAAAUAACUCAGAAUCACAACAACAGAAAACAAAAAAUCUUCUUUUAUCACAUAGAAUCAAGAGAUGGGGUUUUGAGUAGUAGAAAAAUUGUCAGGCGGAGGAUCAAGAAAGAUGAGAGGAUUCUGAGUGUGAGAGAAUUUAUAAGUAGAACAAAUAUCAUAAGCAACAAAGCACUCUAAUCCUUUCAUCUCUUGGCUAAAAAUAAC